rnacentral:rRNA from 1 species
AGAGUUUGAUCCUGGCUCAGGAUGAACGCUGGCGGCGUGCUUAACACAUGCAAGUCGAACGGGAAAUAUUUCAUUGAGACUUCGGUGGAUUUGAUCUAUUUCUAGUGGCGGACGGGUGAGUAACGCGUGGGUAACCUGCCUUAUACAGGGGGAUAACAGUCAGAAAUGGCUGCUAAUACCGCAUAAGCGCACAGAGCUGCAUGGCUCAGUGUGAAAAACUCCGGUGGUAUAAGAUGGACCCGCGUUGGAUUAGCUGGUUGGUGGGGUAACGGCCCACCAAGGCGACGAUCCAUAGCCGGCCUGAGAGGGUGAACGGCCACAUUGGGACUGAGACACGGCCCAGACUCCUACGGGAGGCAGCAGUGGGGAAUAUUGCACAAUGGGGGAAACCCUGAUGCAGCGACGCCGCGUGGAGGAAGAAGGUUUUCGGAUUGUAAACUCCUGUCGUUAGGGACGAUAAUGACGGUACCUAACAAGAAAGCACCGGCUAACUACGUGCCAGCAGCCGCGGUAAAACGUAGGGUGCAAGCGUUGUCCGGAAUUACUGGGUGUAAAGGGAGCGCAGGCGGGAAGACAAGUUGGAAGUGAAAACCAUGGGCUCAACCCAUGAAUUGCUUUCAAAACUGUUUUUCUUGAGUAGUGCAGAGGUAGAUGGAAUUCCCGGUGUAGCGGUGGAAUGCGUAGAUAUCGGGAGGAACACCAGUGGCGAAGGCGGUCUACUGGGCACCAACUGACGCUGAGGCUCGAAAGCAUGGGUAGCAAACAGGAUUAGAUACCCUGGUAGUCCAUGCCGUAAACGAUGAUUACUAGGUGUUGGGGGAUUGACCCCCUCAGUGCCGCAGUUAACACAAUAAGUAAUCCACCUGGGGAGUACGACCGCAAGGUUGAAACUCAAAGGAAUCGACGGGGGCCCGCACAAGCAGUGGAGUAUGUGGUUUAAUUCGAAGCAACGCGAAGAACCUUACCAGGUCUUGACAUCCGAUGCAUAGUGCAGAGAUGCAUGAAGUCCUUCGGGACAUCGAGACAGGUGGUGCAUGGUUGUCGUCAGCUCGUGUCGUGAGAUGUUGGGUUAAGUCCCGCAACGAGCGCAACCCCUAUCCUCAGUAGCCAGCAUUUAAGGUGGGCACUCUGGGGAGACUGCCAGGGAUAACCUGGAGGAAGGCGGGGAUGACGUCAAAUCAUCAUGCCCCUUAUGGCCAGGGCUACACACGUGCUACAAUGGCGUAAACAAAGGGAAGCGAAGUCGUGAGGCGAAGCAAAUCCCAGAAAUAACGUCUCAGUUCGGAUUGUAGUCUGCAACUCGACUACAUGAAGCUGGAAUCGCUAGUAAUCGUGAAUCAGAAUGUCACGGUGAAUACGUUCCCGGGUCUUGCACACACCGCCCGUCA